rnacentral:rRNA from 1 species
CGGGGUCGGAACUUCGGUUUCGGCUUACGUGGCGCACGGGUGAGUAACACGUGGGAAUCUGCCCAUCUAUGGGGAAUAACUGCGGGAAACUGCAGCUAAUACCGCAUACGCCCUUCGGGGGAAAGGCUUCGGCCGUAGAUGGAUGAGCCCGCGUCCGAUUAGCUAGUUGGUGGGGUAAUGGCCUACCAAGGCGACGAUCGGUAGCUGGUCUGAGAGGAUGAUCAGCCACACUGGGACUGAGACACGGCCCAGACUCCUACGGGAGGCAGCAGUGGGGAAUAUUGGACAAUGGGCGAAAGCCUGAUCCAGCAAUGCCGCGUGAGUGAUGAAGGUCUUCGGAUUGUAAAGCUCUUUCGACGGGGAAGAUAAUGACGGUACCCGUAGAAGAAGCCCCGGCUAACUUCGUGCCAGCAGCCGCGGUAAUACGAAGGGGGCUAGCGUUGUUCGGAUUUACUGGGCGUAAAGCGUGCGUAGGCGGCUUAUCAAGUCAGAAGUGAAAGCCCGGGGCUCAACUCCGGAAUGGCUUUUGAGACUGGUAGGCUGGAGUUCGGGAGAGGGUAGUGGAAUUCCCAGUGUAGAGGUGAAAUUCGUAGAUAUUGGGAAGAACACCGGUGG